rnacentral:misc_RNA from 1 species
AACUGGGGCGAGCACAAGUGCAGCGUUUGCACAAGAAUUGGAAGCUGUAACGGACGCGGUAAUCCUUUACACAUCUGAAAUUGAUGAUGACACGGCGAACACGAUAGCGAAACGUCACGUGCGAGUAGCGAGGGAGACCGCAGCGGAAUCUGCGGCAGCGGAUCAAGAGGGUGCGGAAUCCGCUCCCCAGCCCGAACAAGACUCGAACGGAGUGGAUGAUCAGGACCGGAACAAGAGAUACUCACCAUUUGGAGCAAGCGACGAUGGGCAUGAAGGAGCGGGUUCCGGCAAUUUCUUGUUUGAUAUUAUCAGGUUGGUAGCUGGAUCAGGAGCAACCGAGGAAUCUGAUGAUCAUGAGGCUGGAGGUGUAGCUGAAUUGGACGUGCAAAAGAGCACUGAUGGUCAUACUGAAGGAAUUCCCGGACCCAUCACCAGGUUGUUUGUGAUCGCCAACCGAGGCCUAGCCAACUUAGUACAGGAUCUGAUCUUGCGUCUUGCCCAGACCAGUGAAAGAUUAGUCAACUUUAAAGCCCGUCUCAUCACUGCCCUCAUUUAAAUCAACUACCCUUGUAGCAGAACACACAUUUUGGUACCAACGUUCAAAAAUUCAACUAAAAUCAUCGAAACUAGCAACGCCAUGUCAACUAGUGAAUUUAAUAAAUUAUUUAUCUUUUUUGUAUCUUCCACACCGCUAAGUAUUUAAAUUCUUUGUAAAUAGUUUUUUUAAACUUAUUCUUUCGCACGCUCUUUACACGUUCAAUUUGGUGCAGCAGUAUGCUGAUAUGAUUUACUCGGGUUCAAAAGACUCUUCUCUUCUAUCUAUUUCUAAACCAGUAAGUUGUAUCUUGCCAACACCAGCUUUUCCAUUAAAAGAAAAACAGAUGUAAUAAUUUUGAAAAUUUAAAUUACUAUGUAAAUAAACUGAACAAUUGCUCAUGUCAUCAUGAACCCAUUUUUUUGUAUAUAAGAGAUUUUCGUUUCGAAAGUGUCCUUAUUCGAUUUAGCUUUUUAAUGUAUGUAUAUAAAAGAGAUUGGAGUUUUAAGUGAAGUCAGAUCCUAAGGUUACGUUGAUAAAGAUUCCAAAUAGGCUUGUAGAUUAAUGUAGGUAUUUUAUAAUUUAAUACAAUAAAUUAUAGACAAAA